rnacentral:tRNA from 1 species
GGAUUGUGGCUCAGUGGUAGAGCGCUCACCUAACAUGCUUGAGGCACUGGGUUUGAUCCUCAGCACCA